rnacentral:rRNA from 1 species
UACGUAGGGCGCAAGCGUUAUCCGGAAUUAUUGGGCGUAAAGGGCUCGUAGGCGGUUUGUCGCGUCGGGAGUGAAAACUCAGGGCUUAACCCUGAGCCUGCUUCCGAUACGGGCAGACUAGAGGUAUACAGGGGAGAAUGGAAUUCCUGGUGUAGCGGUGAAAUGCGCAGAUAUCAGGAGGAACACCGGUGGCGAAGGCGGUUCUCUGGGCAUUACCUGACGCUGAGGAGCGAAAGUGUGGGGAGCGAACAGG